GGGGGCAUAGCUCAGUUGGUAGAGCACGAGCUUUGCAAGCUCGGGGUCGCCGGUUCGAACCCGGUUGCCUCCACCA
rnacentral:tRNA from 1 species